UACGUAGGGACCAAGCGUUGUUCGGAUUUACUGGGCGUAAAGGGCGCGUAGGCGGCUUGACAAGUCACUUGUGAAAUCUCCGGGCUUAACUCGGAACGGCCAAGUGAAACUGUCAUGCUAGAGUGCAGAAGGGGCAAUCGGAAUUCUUGGUGUAGCGGUGAAAUGCGUAGAGAUCGGCAGGAACACCCAGGGGGAAACCAGUGGACUGGGCAGGUGCUGACGCUGAUGUGCGAAAGCGUGGGGAGCGAACCGG
rnacentral:rRNA from 1 species